rnacentral:rRNA from 1 species
GUGCCAGCAGCCGCGGUAAUACGGGGGAUGCAAGCGUUAUCCGGAAUCAUUGGGCGUAAAGCGCCUGUAGGUUGUUUAAUAAGUCUGUUGUUAAAGACUAGGGCUUAACCCUAGAAGAGCAAUGGAAACUACUAGACUAGAGUAUGGCAGGGGUAGAGGGAAUUCCCGGUGUAGCGGUGAAAUGCGUAGAUAUCGGGAAGAACACCAGUGGCGAAGGCGCUCUGCUGGGCCAUCACUGACGCUCAUGGACGAAAGCCAGGGGAGCGAAAGGGAUUAGAUACCCCUGUAGUCCC